ACUCCUCACCAAGAACUCCUGAACUUGAGAGUGGACGACUUCAAAGCUAGCUCUCACAGACUCACCUGGAAAAGAGUUCAGCUGCGCGUUCAUUGAACCGAGAGGCCAGAUCACCUAUGUGAGGCGGUGGGAACCAUAUGGAGAUUUAUAUUAGAACUUCAGCAAAGUGCACAGCUGCAGCCGGCAGAAGCCAGCUCUCGGGCUGACAGGCAAAUGAACCAGAUCGUGGACGGGGCCUCUGGGUGGCAGCUCCGGCCUUUUGGUUGUUGGACAACUAUAGUCAGAACUGAAAUGGAACAGGGGCAGGAGAAAUAACACACUUUUACUCCACGCAACUGUUGCUUUCACAUGAUCUUCAGGAAUGUAACUGGGAUAAUUGUCCAAAUUGAAUCCCAUACCCUGUCAUGGUACUGAUUAUUAAGGUGACUAUAUGAAAGGAUCACUCCAAAAUAACAGGAAUCUUGAGGAACCCAUUAAUGUAAAGCUGCGGCCAGAGUUCCAUGAGGAGGCAGAAUGUUCUAGAUGAUCCCUGUCUCUUCUCCAUUGAGGAAGUCGUUUCUUGCCUCUCUGUAAGCUCAGUUAAUCAUACCAGAAUAGGAGUCCUGUCUUAACUGAGCAAUAUACACUAUGGAGAGAUCCUUCAAAACCCGUCGGGACGAAUAACAGAUGAAUUCAUAAAACUGUUCAUCUCUGUUAUCCUGAAUGGUCACUCAGACAACAUUUUACUCAACUAUAAAGGGGAACACUUAAAGUGCAUAUGAGAAGAGAAGAGAAUGACCACAGGAGAAAAUCAUCUCAGGCCACGAUUUCCUAACCAGAAUCUGUAAGAGAGAUUCCAAGAACUUGGGAGAAGCAUAUUGUGUGAUGUUCUAUAUUUAUGAGACCCAUAGCAAACUGUGAAGAGAUAACAGAAUGCUUUUUGCGUGAGCUGAAACAGUAGAUGAAAUCUUUCAUUAAAAUUACUCAUACUUUGGGUCCUAUUCUUAUUUAUAAAUAAAUAUUAUUGCAAAC
rnacentral:lncRNA from 1 species